ensembl:lncRNA
UUUCUUGUCUUGGGGUUGGAAGAAACGCCAAGUUUCUGUCAUUUGUCUCGGUGAGACGGUGGGUCACGUAGGGGAGCCACAGGUGACUUUGCCCGGGCCCGAAUCUUUCUGAUGCAUUCCUUGGAGAGAAAGCUUUAUUGCAAACGUUGUCCCCAGCUUCAUUCAAGAGAUGCGGAGAAAAGACCCAAACAAGUAGCGCUCCUGAAACUGCGUUGGGUGGCUGGGAUCUUCAGCUGUCUGCACGCUGCCCCUGACACUGACCGGCGACCUGCCUGUCUGGCCCUGGCUGCGAGCUCACCGUUGUCUCACUCUGCAGGAGAGAACCCAGAAGGUACCUGGAGACCCCCUGUCAUGUGGCUACCAACAGCAAGGGACCCCCAGCCACCUGGAUCAAAUUUGAGAUGCUUGUUGGAGGGGAGAGACCCUGCGAGUACUCACUUCUCCCACCUGCUGGGCUUUUGGUUUAUUUUUUUGGGAAACUUUCAUCCCUGGGAGUGUUUUCUUCCAGUCUUUUAUGAGUUGUGAACACACUUUAAUAUGAAGACUUUAAUUAUAUCCCGUAUCAGUAAUAAUCUUAGGAUUCUCUGCUCCAAGAAACUCAUCUUGACCAAAAAGCUGCUACAAACUGAGGAGCGUUUCCAUUCAGGGGUUUGUACGGUAGCAUCAUGCACACAGGCUUCCUGGGGGGCUCAGUGGUAAAGAACCUGUCUGCCAAUGCAGGAAGCACAGGAGACAGGUUCCAUCCCUGGAUGGGGAAGAUCCCCUGGAGGAGGAAAUGGUAACCCUCUCCAGUAUUCUUGCCCGGAGAAUCCCAUGGACAGAGGAGCCUGGUGGGCUACAGCCCAUGGGGUCUCAAAGGGUCGGACACGACUGAGCGACUGUACUUUCUUUCCUUACUGAGGGAGGCAUUGUGAGGGGAGGGAGGGUGGGCCCUGAGGCUGGCCCCUCGCUGGCCACCUGGGCCACUGAGAGAAGCUGAUGGUCCAAUGUUGUGAUCCCCAGACAGUCCUGGGGGCGGUGGGGGAGAGGAAGAGCUAUUGGUUGUUGCCCAUUCCCUCCGUGGAGCUGUGGGUGCUUGGAAAAGGCCUUGUGGCACGUGGCCCUUGGCCUCGGGGCUUGUCUUACCCGCACCCACACUGUUCUCUCCAGCCGCGGCCACACAGGGGCCCAGGCAGGUGAGGCUGAAGGGUGCUGUCCUACCCAUUCUGCGUGACCUUCGUCUUUAGGGCUCAAGGCUUUGCUUCGAUGUCUGGGCCCUGCUGUGCCGCCGCUGUUCAACGAGGUCACUGGAAGGCAGAUGCUGGGCCUUGGGGUAUGGCCAUUUGGUUGCCCUCAUUGUGUGGGGAGACCCUGGGGCCCCUGUAUGGGGUCUCUUCUCCUUGGCAGCCAGACUGUCUGAAGAAGCCUCUUCUCCACCGUGACUAGGAGGGCAGUGGUAGUCUGGGGCUGUCAGCUGUUCGGCAUCAGCAGCUGUGCUCAUAGUGGUACCAGGAGCCCUGUUACUGGUUCAGGAGAGGAACCCACAUGCCUGGAGUGAGAGCAGGGCCUCAAGGGAUCAGACUGAGCCCUGCACUUCCCGUGGGCCCCUGUCUUGCACUCUCCUGGCCUGGCUUACCCACACAAGUUGUGUCCAUUUAAAGGGUCAGGAGCUUUCUAAUCCCUCAAUACCUCGGGCAGACUUUUGAAGUUUAGUUUUUUGUUUUAAUCAGAGCAAUACAUGUACGUAGUUUGAAGAGUCAGUUGCCCAGAAGUAACCAGGCUUAUCAACAUUUUCUGUAUUCAUCUCCGUAUUUCUAAGCAGAUGUUUAAUAAUGUAUUGCAGUUCCUUACCACCUGUCUUUCUCCCCCACCCACCCAAAGCUCAGCUUCGUGUGGGAUUCUUUUACCCUUCUUGGAAGGUGAGGAGUGGACCUCCGUCUCAUUCGCAUCCUGACCUGUACAUCCUGUCUCCUGUCGUCCCUGGUGAGAGUGGCUGGACCAGCACACCCUGCGGCUGCCGUGGUCCAGAUGCGUGUGCUGGGAUCACUUUCUCUGUCUUCCAGGACGUCUUGUUUUCUUCUGGAGUUGUAUUUGCCUUUGCUUGGUAGUUUAUGUACUUACUGCUCCCUACCCCAACCCCCACUCCAAGCCAACACAGGUGUGCAAAUAUUCUCUUGGACACCUUGAGGUAUCCAGCUAGUUGUGUCUCUGGGAAACAGUCUCUGGUGUGCCUUUUGUCCCCAGGGGCCUGGCUGCCCUCCAGCCUCCCUGCUCAGCUCUAUCCCCGUCUCCUCCUCCAUGGUCCCAGGCGGGCCCUUUGUUCUUCUCUUGGCUCUCUUGAUCCCUGUUUUGUGGUUUCUUCCCACAGUUUGAUGGAGAGCAUUUCAUAAUAGCUUCCAAAGAAGAGAUGCAUUCAAGCUUUUUGAGACUUUGCUUGUCCAAAAAUGUCCUUAUUAUAACCCUUCACUUUUCAGUGUUUUAUUUAUCUUUUAUUCAUUUAUUUUUUCCAUGUCUGGAAACUUGUAGGAUUUUCUCUUUGUGUCUUUAUUCAAAAAUUCCUUGUAGCUAUGCCUUGUUGGGCAUCUAUAUGUAUUGUGCAGAGCACAUCAAGGCUCUUUCAAGCUGGAGACUCCGAUUUUUUAAAAUUAGUUCUUUAAUUUCUUUCCUCUCCCCCAAUUUUCUCUUCUUUCUUCCUAGAAUCACUUUUAUUUCAUGGUUAGCUGCUGGACUUGUUCUCUAUCUUUUAUUUCGUUGAGUUCUUUUAAGUUGUAGAGUAUAUCAACUUGGCUUUUAACUGGAUUUUAAAUUUUUGUUUUCAUUGUUAACUUCUAAGGACCUCUUUAUUUCUUUUUUGAUUAUUAUUAUUUUUACUUUAUUUAGACUUUACUUUUUGGACCAGUUUUACAGUUACUGCAAAAUUGAGCAGAAAAUAUGGAGAUUUACUGUUUAUACUCCUUGCUCUACUGCCCCCAAAUCUCCCCACUGUCAACAUCCCCAACCAGUGAAUGAAGGCGCUCCGUCGUGUCUGACUCUGUGCCACCCCUUGGACUGUAGCUCGAAAGGUCCUCUCUCCAUGGGGAUUCUGCAGGCCAGAAUUCUGGAGUGGGUAGCCUUUCCCUUCUCCAGGGGAUCUUCGCGACCCAGGGAUGGAGCCCAGGCCUCCUGCAGCGCAGGCGGGUUCUUCACCAGCUGCGCCUCCGGGGAGUGUGUCACAGGCGGUGGGCCUGCCGUGGAGCAUCACUGUCCGAACCACCGCCCCCGCUUUCAUGGCGCAGCACUGCUGUCUCACAUCACAGAUGCACGACUUUCUUAAACCUCUUUUUGGAUAUACUUCCUUUUUUGGGGGGAGGGGGGCUCUUUCUUCCAUAGUUUCUCUUCUCUCCAAUUUUUACAUUAUUUCUUUUUGUGCACUUUUGGCUUACCCAGAAAGCAGAGUUUAUGACAAGCAAGAACUUAUCUGUGGCUCAGAGGGUGAAGAAUCUGCAAUGCAGUAGACCCAGGUUUGAUCCCUGGGUCAGCAAGAUCCCCUGGAGGAGGAAAUGGCAACCCACUCCAGUACUCUUGCCUGGAGAAUCCCAUGAACAGAGGAGCCUGGUGGGCUACAGCCCAUGGGGUCUCAAAGGGUCGGACACGACUGAGCGACUGUACUUUCUUUCCUUACUGAGGAGGCAUUGUGAGGGAGGGAGGGUGGGCCCUGAGGCUGGCCUCGCUGGCCACCU